rnacentral:rRNA from 1 species
GGUUAAUUCGAAGCAACGCGAAGAACCUCACCAGGUCUUGACAUCCCGAUGCUAUUCUAGAGAUAGAAAGUUACUUCGGUACAUCGGUGACAGGUGGUGCAUGGUUGUCGUCAGCUCGUGUCGUGAGAUGUUGGGUUAAGUCCCGCAACGAGCGCAACCCCUAUUGUUAGUUGCCAUCAUUCAGUUGGGCACUCUAGCGAGACUGCCGGUAAUAAACCGGAGGAAGUGGGAUGACGUCAAAUCAUCAUGCCCCUUAUGACCUGGGCUACACACGUGCUACAAUGGUUGGUACAACGAGUUGCGAGUCGGUGACGGCGAGCUAAUCUCUUAAAGCCAAUCUCAGUUCGGAUUGUAGGCUGCAACUCGCCUACAUGAAGUCGGAAUCGCUAGUAAUCGCGGAUCAGCACGCCGCGGUGAAUACGUUCCCGGGCCUU